GCAUAAUGUAAAUCGUAUGUUAAUUUAUUAAUAUCGUAAAAUGUGAGGAGCUGUUGAAUAAUGAUUAAAUUUUCUGUAAUCUCAUUUUCUAGGGUUUAUAUGACUGUAUAUUCUGUUUCAAAGGAAAUUUAAUCUUCAAGAAGUUGCUUUGAAGCUUGGUGCUCACUUCUUAGUGGCAGCUAUUACCAAAUACCAUGAGAUUUUGAAGCCCUAUUGAGUUUUUUGCUCUGUUUCGUCGUGGUUCUUGAAUUUUAACUUGUGUUUUACUUAUUUCGUAAAUUCGUUAUGCUUUGGAUACCGUUGUAUCCUCCCUGAGUACGGCGGGAUUUCGCUAACUCUGAUGUACUAGAUUGUAGGGUUUGA
rnacentral:lncRNA from 1 species